UCCCCUGUGGCUCAGUUGGUAGAACAUGGUGUUUGCAAUGCCAGGGUUGUGGGUUCAAUUCCCACGGGGAC
rnacentral:tRNA from 1 species